rnacentral:lncRNA from 1 species
UUUGAUCUUUUGGGUUAGAUGGUAAGGAAACAGAAAGGCGUUUUCGUGGAAUGAAAACAGAAUGGGGUUUUGACCAAUUUAUUUCACGUGAUGCUUUUAAUGAUGCUUCAAAUGGAUACCUUAUUGAUGAUUGUUGUGUAUUUGGAGCUGAGGUUUACAUAAUGGAAAAAUGUACUGGUAAGGGUGAGUGCAUGUCUAUUGUGAAGGAGCUUUCUAACAACACCUUCACUUGGAAGGUUCAAAGUUGGCAAAGCAAAGAAAAUCAUAAGUCCCAGGUGUUUGACAUUGGUGGGCAUAAAUGGUAAGUAAAGAAGUGUUUUUCAGCUUCAAAAUUGAUAUGAAAUAACUUCAUUAUUGCAAUGAGCCAUAAUUUAUGUCUUUUCAAUUUCAAUUAGGAGUUUAUCCCUUUAUCCCAAUGGGAGUGGAACAGAGAAAGGCAAGAGCUUGUCCAUGUUUUUAUACUUACAAGAUUCAGUAACAAAGAUUAAUGCUGAAUACAUUCUGCGUGUAAGGGAUCAACUUUCUGGAACACAUCAAGAAAAGAAAGGUGAGAGCCGUGGGCCCAAGAAUAAUUUAUAUUUCUCAUAUAUUCCAGCUUAUAGUAAAUUCUAUAAGAUUUUAUAAGAGGUUAAUAAGAAAGGUGGGUAGAAUUUGGAGUCUAUUGGGUCGAAGAUGCUUUGAUACAAUAUAAACUAUAAAGAAACCAUUAACCUAAAAGCUUGAACUUAUAGGCAAGGAUUCAAUAAUAGUUUAAUUGCUAAAUAUUCCUCUUCUUGAGCAACGUAACCAAUGUGAUAUAUAAUGAACAGAAAGCCUGUUUCUAUUUCAAAAACAUUGUUUACUUCAGUUUUUGCUGGUUAACUUCAUUGUUUCUGAUGUUCUGUAGCUACAAAUCAAUUCGGUGCUGAAUCCAACAAUUGGGGUUACCUUGAUCUACUUCCACUUAGAGAUCUCAAUGAUACAUCAAAGGGAUUCAUAGUCGGUAAUGCCAUGAUUGUUGAAAUCCAAAUGCUUUUCAUGACAUUGGUCAAGGAGUUCUCUUGAAGCUAUUGUUGUACUAGACUUUUACCAGUUCUCUUGAAGAUAUUGUGGUACUAGACGUUUGCCUUUUGACCUACGAAAAAAAAAAAAAAAAAACAAAUGCAAUUAGCUAAAUUAGAAGAUAUAAAUGUUAGCUAAACUUGAAUGUUUUUGAAUUGAACAUGUUGUCUUCAGGUUGGAUGUUCCUAUUUACUGCUUCGUAAUAUGUUACAGACAAUACUCCUUUUCUUGCAGUGGCGGAGGUUUUAAACUUAGUCAACAUUGCAUUUUUGUUUUUUUGUUAUAUAUAUAUAUCGCAAUUUCUUGUUCAAGCAUAUGCUGCAUUAAUAGUAAUUUAUUAAAAUUAAAUGUUGUUUUAUACAUUAGAGAUUGAUGACAAUUCAAAGUUGCAUAUUUUUGACUUUGAUAAUGAAAUAUAUAUAAUGUUAAAUCAAAUUUCUAUUUAAACAAUCAUUGAUAUUUUCUUUUAAAAGUAACUUAUGUCCUCAUAUGAUCUGUUUCUAUCUUUAGAAUGCUGACAUAUGCAUUACAGAGUUAUUUUUGGUAUGAUUAUUCAUUGAAUCUGAAUAAUAUUACAACUUGUUAGUUUCUUCUGGUAUGCUGACAUGCAUUAGAGAAUUAUUUUUGGUAUGCUGACAUGUGGGUUAAUUUUAUUGUUUCUUCUGGUGUUCUGUAGUUACUCAUCAAUUCUGUACUAAAUCCAAUCACUGCAAGAAAAUAGAGAUUUAGCGACAAAAAAUACCGACAAAAAAUUUUGUAGGUAUUUAGUGAUAAAAUACUGACUAAUACCGGCAAAAUGUAAAUUAUUAAAAUACCGACUAAUACCGGAAAAAUGUAAAUUAUUGAAAAUUAGUAUUAUUUGAGAAAUAUUACGACACAAUUUUUAGGUAUUUCGUCGCUAAUUAGCGACAAAAAAGUGAUUCUCCCUAAUAUAUUGAUACUAAAUGCGCCAAAUAACAGCGCCUUGAUUUACCGUCAAAAUUCGAACAACAAUAGCCAUAAACUUUAAUUCAUUAAUCACCAACAAAAUAUUUUGACGAUUUUUGUUUUUUACCGACAAAAUAGCUAUAAAUUUUUUUUUAUCGGUAAACUGUUUUAAAAUAUUUCAAAAAUAACAAUAAUAUUAGGGUUAAUGUAAUUAUGUGGCGCCCAAUUCUCAAUUUCCCUCCUUUCCUCUCUUUUCUCUGGUUCCCGUUUUCCCUAAUCCGAAACCUAGCUACAGCCACGAUUAUUGUGUCCUUGAGGUUCUGUUUAGAUGCAGCCAAGCAAAUGCAAUACAAAGGGUACAGUUUGCACGUGGACAAACACAUUUUGCACCAAAACUAGAGUUGGUAUCCAAAACCUGUUAUUUCAUUGAGAAAUUUUAUCCAAAACCUGUCAAUGGCUGCACAGGUUUAUUGCAAGGUCCAAAGAUACUCGACAUUUCUUUUCUUAAAAUUUUGCAGAUUCAUGACAUGAACUGAAGACUCAAGCAAUCAUAAUUGCUGCACCAUUUGCAUAAUCAGGUAUGUAUCUAUUUAUACAAACUUCAUUUUAAUAUAUCACAUGUAGUUUAAUAUAUAUGCAUGUAUUGUUCAAUUUUGGCAAUAGUCACUACGUUUCUGCGAGAGGAUUAGCUCUCUUUUGUAAAAAAAUGACAAAAUUUGUACUAUUUAGUUUCUUCUGUCAUCCACAGUCUAAGGAUACUGAUCAGAGAUAGAUGUAUAACAGAACUCAUGCCAACUUGUGUGUUUUGAACUCAUCAUCCCAUGCAUCACCAAAAUGCAAGUUGGAAAGUUCUUCCAAAGGUUUCAUAAUCUCUUCUGAAAAGUUAUACUUUACUCAUCUAAAUUAAGAUUUAAUUUAUUAAUUAAAAUGCUGCAAGAGACAAACUGAUAAAGCAUUUAAAGCAAUUGUUGCACUUAUAAAACCUGACCCAUCAAGGCUCUUUAUGUCAUCAUGCAAAAACCAAUCAACUGCAAACUAGCAGCAGUGAAUGCUGAGUUAAAAUAAAAUAAUUUGAGAAUGAUGUUUGUUUGAUGGGUUAAUGUUAUUUCACUUUUAGACAAAAAAAAAUAAACAAGCAGGGCAUUAUAUGGUUGCUUAUAUAUUUAGAUUCUUUGAUUUCGAAAAAUUUAAAUGAUCAAAGAUUUUAAUACUGCUUGUAGAAGUUACCAAGACUUAAUCAAAACUCAAGGCUCUUGUGAUUUUGCUGGCACUGCUACCAGUUCUGCAUCUGAUCCUAGUAAGCCAUUGCUGAAACAAGGCAUGUUUUAGCAUUCCUCUCAUCCUUGUAAGCCAUGUUUAAGUGGAGAGACAAGGCACCGAUUCUUUUUUCUUACCCUUUUAUUUUCUGUGAUUCUUGCAGGUGUUAGUGGCUGUUAUUACCCAGCUACUGUCAGGUAUGCUGAGCCUUUUAACAUUGUCUUUGAGAUAUUUGCUACUACUCUACAAUUUUAAUUUUUCUGGUUUGGUUGAUGUGUUUUUGGUUUCUCUUUCCCUUUUUAUUUAAGCAUAAAAUUUAUUGAUUAAAAAAAAAUGCAUGCUGUCAAAAUAAGACAGCCUUUGGUUAGUUGGCCUUACUGAAUCCAAAUAGUUUAAAAUUGGAAGAAUAUACCAUUAAUUUGUGGGAAAUUGAAUUUCUUGGCGAUAACCCCUUUAUUUAAAUAUAAACUUAUUUUAUAUUAAUUAAUUAAAAACAAUAAAAUAGCACGAGUAUACUAGACAGAACAUUAGCUUAUUUUAUAAAUGUGUGACAUGUAUCUAAACUUUGAUUUAUUAUAUUAUUUAUAUAUCUUGGAAGCAUAAGAAUAUUUUAUUUAUUUUUAAUUCUUUUGCUUUUCUAAUACUUUAUUUGUAACACCCACCGGCUAAUCCCAGAAAACCAGACGACGGAUGCCACAUUAUUGCUUUUCUUCUUAUUAUUAUUAUUAAGCAUAAAUAGUUUCCUUUGUAAUAUAGUUUGAUUGUUUUAGAAGACUUGAUUAGAUAUUAAUAUAUUAGCUAUUAAGGAGACUUGAUUUCUAAUUGUACUUGGCGCUUUGUAGUAUUGUUAUGAAAACCUAAAUAAUUGUCAACCAGGUCAGUAUGAGUUCAAAUCGACUAUGGAUGUACCAACGACUUGAGGACGAUUUUUUAAGACCUGGAUUCGCAGACUGACAAUUGGGUCUGACUGGCGUUUUAAUGCAUCUACUAUUACUGGAUUUCGUGCUGAUCGUACUAUAAAUGAUGCGGAGGAUGAUCGAGAUGAGAGCCUUAAUUAGUAGCCAUCAGAAUAAACUAGUAUUAUCUCUAUUUAAACAUUUAAAACAUAUAACUAAAUGUGGAAAGACUUUUUUUUUCCUUCCUUUAUCUUUCUAAUUUUAAUACAGUAUCGAACAUGUUUGCUGAAUUAAUUUACGAGAUAUUAUAAAUAUAUUGCAAGUGUAUUAUGGUAUAUGGUGUUGAAUUGGAAUUGUUAAUAAUUAAGGGUUUUUGAUGCUAUAUUAAAACAUGUUAAUUAUGCAAAUUUAGGCAAAAUUUUUUAAUUUUUUUUAUGAAAUUAGCGACAAAAUAGCGUUAAAUUAGCGACAAAAUAAAUUAUUUUAUUGAAAUAUAUAUUAAAUUUAACGACAAUUUACAGAUAAAACAAUGACAAAAUAGCAUCAAAAUUAAGAACAAAAUCCAUAUAAAAUAGCUAUAAAAUUUGUCUACUUUCUAAAUAUAAUUACCGACGGAAAAUAAUUAAUUUAGCGACAAAAUUUUUAUCGACAAAAUAUAUUUUUGUAGCUAAAAAAUAGGGAUGAAUUUAUGUAUUUCGACUUGUUUUUUUUUUUUUUUUUUGGAAUAAAGGCUAAUUUGAUCCCUGAACUUAUUUAGCAAGGCCAAAAGAGCUUUUGGGCCAAUUUAGCUCUUGAACUUGUAUAAAAUGAUUAAAAAGAUCCGAAUUCACUUUUUCGGCCAAUUUAACCCUUGAACUUGUAUUGAUUUUUAUAAAUUAGUAAUUGAUUUAAUUUAACAUGAUUGAUUUUUUAUUUCUUUUUGUCAUACACUAAGAACGCGCAUAUCAAAAUUUUCCAACACUUAUGAAUAUAAAUUUAAAAUCCACAAAAAUAUCAUUUCUUGUUAUAUAAUAAAUUUAUAAACAUGUAUUAUAACUUUAAUUUAUUCAACAUAAAAAAUGCAUAGAUUUCAUAAUUUUUGAUCAACCAGUAAUAGAGGUUAAUUUUAAAAUGUUAAAAAUAAUCAAAACCAUCAAUCAAGUUAAAAGGAGAUACAAUAUAUUUAUUCAAUAUGAAAAAUGCAUAGAUUUCAUAAUUUUUGAUCAACUAGUAAUAGAGGUUAAUUUUAAAAUGUUAAAAAUAAUCAAAACCAUCAAUCAAGUUAAAAAAAGAUACAAUAUAUUUCAUAUAUUAUUUUUCUAUAUUUUAUAAUUAAUUAAUUUUUAAAUAAAUUAAAUCAGCUCAAUCCUAACUACAAUUUUAAUAACUAUUUAUAUAAUGACUCAUAUUGUAAGUAUAAUGAAUAAGUAGAGGUAAAUUGGCUCAAAAUAUCAAAUAUUAUUUUUUAAUAAUUUUAAACAAUUUUAAAAAUUUAAUAGUUAUUUAAUAGGUAAAUAAGUUCAGAGGUAAAAGAAUUGGACUAAAAAGUAAGAUAGAAUCUUUUUAAUUAUUUUAUAUAAUUUCAAGAACUAAAUUGGAUCAAAUCUGAACUUUAUAUAAUUAUUUUAUAUAAUGAAUAAGGCAAAUGACCUUUAUUGUUUUAUUAUUAUUAUUAUUCGCACGCCCUUUACUUCUUCCCUACUUUUCCUUUUUUUUUUAUUCCUAUAUAAGGAAAAGAAAACGCGAAAACAGAGUAAAGUAAUAAUGGGAGUACGAGAAGUCAUGGAAGAAGUGAUUGCUGAACUCAGUGCCAAAGAAGAAGUAAAAACUGUUAUGGAAGAAGCAAUCACUAAACUCACUAUCAAAGAAGAACAAAGAGGUCAGGAAUUUCUCUGUCUUUAUCUCUCGUUCUCUCAAAAUUGCGCUCAUAUUUAAAAAUAAUCAGAGAUUGAUGCUAAUUGUUGCUUUUGAUUUUGAUGUUUAAUCAACAGAAAUAAUAAGGGAACUAAGGGAUCGUCCACCUUCUCACUAUCUGUUUAAGAUCGAAAACUUCUCUAAACUUUCUGAUGCAAAGGUCGAGAAUUUUCAAUCAAGUGAUUUUGAAGUUGGCGGAUACAAAUGGUGGGUUUUAAUUUUAAUUCCACAUUUUUUUUUUUUUUUGCUAAUAGGAGCUAAGAGGGCUUUAACUGCAUGUACUCUACUAAUGGAUUACUAGCCAAACAGCUUAGGCUACGUUUGGCUAGCCAUAAUGUAACUUAAUGUAAUAUAAUCAAAGGGAUUCUAGAAUCUAGAAAUGCCUUUGCUUACAUUAUUUAUUUUAUUGCUCUUGUUUUACCAAUGUGCUGAGUUGCCAUAUAUCACUCUAUUAGAGUAGGUUAAUAUUUUUUUUUAUUUCUUUAAGAUAUUGCUCAGUUGGUGCUGAUGUAUUGUAUAAUGUAAAGAAAUUACUGUAUUAUAUUUUUCUUUCUGAUUAUCUACUUUAUGCAAUGCAGUUACAUUUCUUUUUCAAAAAUUUCCAUAAUUAAACUUUCAAAAUACAAUUUACAUUUUGUGUGGAUCAAAUCAAUGAGGACUUCCAAAUGAAUUUCGAUUUAUACCAAAUAUGAAACAUAUGCAUUUACAAAUAAAUAUCAUAAAAGUUUAUGCAAUUCAUUUAUGUCAUAAAAUAUGUUUAUAUUAUAAUUAUAAAUAUUGUUAACUUUUUGUAUUUGAUUGCGCUAAUUUUUGUUAGGCCAAUUAGCACUACCUAACAUUUUUCACUAUUUUUUUGGUGCAGGAGGCUGUCUCUUUACCCUGAGGGAAGUAAGAAAAAAAAUGGAGAUAAACACCUAUCUCUAUAUUUAGCACUAUCCAAUUCAAAUGGAUUACCCUUCGGUAGUGAGGUUAAUGCUGUCUUCAAGUUGUUUGUUUAUAAUCAAAUUGAAGAUAAGUAUUUGGCUGUUCAAGGUACUAUAUAGUUGAUUUAUACAUACUCUGCCAUAAUUCAACUGUUAUCUAUUUUCAUCAAUUUACUGAACUAUCUAUAUUCUUUGAUCUUUUCGGUUAGAUGGUAAGGAAACAGAAAGGCGUUUUCGUGGAAUGAAAACGGAAUGGGGUUUUGACCAAUUUAUUUCACGUAAUGCUUUUAAUGAUGCUUCAAAUGGAUACCUUAUUGAUGAUUGUUGUGUAUUUGGAGCUGAGGUUUACAUAAUGGAAAAAUGUACUUAUAAAGGUGAGUGCAUGUCUAUUGUGAAGGAGCUUGCUAACAACACCUUCACUUGGAAUGUCCAAAGUUGGCAAAGCAAAGAAAGUCAUAGUUCCGAGGUGUUUGAUAUUGGUGGG